GGAGCUCAUUGAUGUUACAAAAAAAAACCAGAUUGGAUUAGAAAGAGGACAAAUAGUAGUCUGUACAGGGAUGUUUAUGUUGAUAAAAUAGUAGAUUCAAUAAACCAUCUGCAUGAGAAUGCUCAUCUGAAAAGAAGGAGGUUCAAAGAACGAUCAGCACAGGGAUGCUCAUCUGGAUAAAACAAGAGGUUCUAAGAACAG
rnacentral:lncRNA from 1 species